AACACACCUCUUCGGAAGGAAGGCUACUGGAGGCUGAGAGGGACCUACUACCUUCUAUUCUAACAAAGACCUGCUCGUUGCUAGAACUUGAGAAGCAAAUCACUUGUUACAUGCAGGUGCAUGGCUCGUCCAGGCCCUGCAGGAUGCGAGGGUGUGAGCUAGCGGAGCCACAGGGUGACUCGACGAGGGAGACGACAGUGCCACGCAGCCAUGGAGCCUGCCACCGGAUGCCUGGAAAGCAAACCAGGGGCUGCUUUCGUCUCACUGGCUGACCUCACGCCCCUGUUGUGUGGUGUGUUUUUCUCAUGGCCGUGAUGCUCCCAUCAAGCAGAAAGAGAAAGAAUUUGUCUCAGCCACAGAGUUGUGCUCACGGCUCAUUCUCAGACAUCUGGAAAGAAGGAGGAGCAGGGGGUGCUGGUGAUACUCCUGGGGCCCCGAGGCCUGGGCCCUGCCACAGCCUCUGCUGCCCCAGAGUUGAUGGCAUCCUGUUUCCAGCGUCAAUGUAAAGAUGACAAUUGAGGGACCCACUUAGAGGCUGUUGGCAAAAGGCCAUUUUCUCUCGAGUAUUAGAAUAAUGGGCAGGGUUUGAAGGACCCUAAAUACCGUAAAGAUGGACAGACACCGGGUAAGGAUCUCUCACCUCGCAGAUAAUCACCCCUGCCUGAAAGGUGGGCACUAUCUUGGGGGUAUAUCUCAACUACGACCUCAAGAGGUGGGUUGAGACUGAUGAAGACCACAGAAUGAGACCGUUUGGAUUUGAAUCCCAAUUCCAGACUUCCUCCUUACUGGAUGUGUGACUUCAGCAAGUUUCUCUGGCUUUCAGAGUGCAUUUGGAUUUUUGGCUGAGUGACUGGGUCUGUCAGACGUGGCAUCCAGGGUCGCCAGGCUCCGCCUGGGGGACAGAUCUGCUUUUUCCAUUCUGAACAGUUCUCUCCAGGCCCGGUUCCAUGUUGAUCGCAGAGUUUUCUUCCUCUCACCUGUUACAGCCCCAGAUUUGUCACAGUGUAGGGGACUGCAUAGAUCACGUGGCCAAACCCCAAUUUUAGGGUUCAGUAAACUGGCUUUGCAGUUAUGUAGACUGAGGGUAAGUGAAUUUUUCAUUUUUACCUGAUGUGCUUGGUACAAUCACCUGUGUUGAUUGGGAUGAGAAAAACUGAACACUGAAAUUCUCACUAAAUCCCCAGUUAACGUGAUGCUGGUGAACACCCAAUUCAUUUUCUCAUCCUGUUGUGUCCUGUGUUUUAAUAUUUGGGAAUUUAACUUGGGGCUUCCUCCUGGAUCAUAACCAUCACUGCUUUCCGUGCAAAUAACUUUUCCUUUCAGAUAUAUGUCCAGAUUAAUGUGAUCUAAAAAAAAAGGCGAUUAUGAAGCAUUUUUUAUGGCAGAAAAAAAAUCCUGGCAGCCCCGGUGGCGCAGUGGUUUAGUGCCGCCUGCAGCCUGGGGUGUGAUCCUGGAGACCCGGGAUUGAGUCCCACAUCGGGCUUCCUGCAUGGGGCCUGCUUCUCUCUCUGCCUGUGUCUCUGCCUCUCUCUCGCUCUCUCUGAAUGAAUAAAUAAAUAAAUCUUUAAAAAAAAUCCUAAUGA
rnacentral:lncRNA from 12 species